rnacentral:rRNA from 1 species
UACGAAGGGGGCUAGCGUUGCUCGGAAUUACUGGGCGUAAAGGGUGCGUAGGCGGUCCUGUAAGUCAGUUGUGAAAUACGGCAGCUUAACUGUCGAGGUGCAAUUGAUACUGCGGGACUAGAGUACUGAUGAGGUAAGCGGAAUGGACGUGUAGCGGUGAAAUGCUUAGAUAUCGUCCAGAACACCGAUAGCGAAGGCAGCUUACUAAGGAGUAACUGACGUUGAGGCACGAAAGUGUGGGGAUCAAACAGG